ACGCUGGCGGCGUGCUUAACACAUGCAAGUCGAACGAACCUUCGGGUUAAUGGCGGACGGGUGAGUAACGCGUGGGAAUUUGCCCUCAGGAGGGGGAUAACGGCCGGAAACGGCCGCUAAUACCCCAUAUGCCGAGUGGUGAAAUGAAUUUCGCCUGAGGAUGAGCCCGCGUGUGAUUAGCUAGUUGGUGAGGUAAGAGCUCACCAAGGCAUCGAUCAGUAGCUGGUCUGAGAGGAUGAUCAGCCACACUGGGACUGAGACACGGGCCAGACUCUUACGGGAGGCAGCAGUGGGGAAUUUUCCGCACUGGGCGAAAGCCUGACGGAGCAACGCCGCGUGAGGGAUGAAGGCCUCUGGGCUGUAAACCUCUUUUAUCAAGGAAGAAGAUCUGACGGUACUUGAUGAAUAAGCCACGGCUAAUUCCGU
rnacentral:rRNA from 1 species